GACCUGGUGGUGAAAUGAAUCACAUCCACAUUGCUUAGAGCUUAGUGAAAGAUUGUUUGUGGGAGUCCCUGGUUCGAAUCCGGGCCAGGUCA